AUAUUAAUUACCAAUUAAUUAGUGCACCACAAAGCCCAACCCUAAGGGUGAGCCCAAUUUUAUUCUCCAAGGCCUAUUACUCCAAUUACUUUCUAUAAAGGGCAAAGCCUUAUAAAGUGAUGAAAGCUUUUGGGAAUGGUCAAUGUGGGACAAAGAAAUUUCUACUCAAACGACUCAAAUUUCCAACAAUUCAUAUAUAUAAUUAAAUCACAGAUUGUUGACAUAUAUCCAACAAUAACUAAAUAUGAUCCACUCACACUUUGUUUUGCACCCCCUCAGAUCCUAGCAAGUGCAAGGCGUACGUUGAGAAGGGCAAGUAAGCGUGGCAGUAGUGCGGACAUCCUACUUAGUAGGGUAGUUUAAACUCUAUUAUAUCCUUAUCGAGUUAUAAUCAAUUGUAUGACUUUAAUGAAUGAGCCUUCCAAUUCAAAAUAUUUCACAUCACAAUUUUCUUACUCAUGGCUUCGUCAUUAAGUUGAUGGUAUUUCGUCACCUCUACGGUGGGGUUUUAUUGUCAAUUUAGUGAUAGCCAACACAUUUCCACCCUUAGCUGAAGCCUAAUCAGGUCGGGUGUAUCAUGUUGAUCUAUCUAGAUUAUAAUGCCAAAUUGGAAAUCCUAUGAUCAGUCAUGUUUAGGUUAUGUGUAUGAAAGAGAAAGGUCUCAUGAAUCUAAUAUCUUUAGAUCACAUUCUCUUUAUUACAUAUUACUUGGACUUAUUGUUUAAUAUGAGACGACUUGCAUACAACACUUAAUGAAAUGGUUGUAAAACAAUAAUAUUUAUCCUUAGCUUAAACUAGAUUAGUUUAAUAUGUGAAAUGUCUAUAAAGUAUUAUCUCAUGAUUUCCUUUGGCGCACAUGUCCAACACUCUCAUACAAAAAACAAAAAAAAUGGUUAGACUCUUUCUUUGAGACUAUAUGCGUCACUCUCUACCAUAGUCUCAUCAUUACCAGAUCAUUUCAAGUAUCACCUUCCAUUCAAAGAUCAACUCCAUGCCACUGGUCCUAGUGAGGAUUAAUUGAAGGUGUCAUCCGGCUGGAAGACGUUAAAUCAAGCGCUUCUUGGGAGGCAACCUAUUUGUUCAAAUAAAGAAGACCGUGGAAUUUCCGGCUCCUACAACCAGAUUUGCUUUCUUUUACCCUUCUCUUUAUUGUUUUUGCUUUGCUAUGAUUGUCUUGUUUGCUAGUUAACUUUUGUUGCUUUCUUGUUUAAGUUUAUUUUUGAAACCUUGAGGACAAUGUUCGGUUUAAGUGUGGGGAUGGGGGUAAACAGAUUGUUUUUCAUCACUUAUCUUCAAAUUUCACCACCUAUCACUACUAAUAUUGUUAUUCACUGUUUUAAAGUGUUUUAUUGUGUGUCAUAUAACAAAAUUUUGAAGAAAAAAAAUCAAAAAAGCUUGAGAAAAAAACCAAAAAGAGUCGUUUUUGUUGCUUGUUUGUAUCUUAGGGUAUCUUCCAACACAAUGAUGAGGAUUUGGUUUUUAAUUGCAUGACUGUUGAUGCGAAAAUUAACUUAACACACAAAUUUAACCCUCUUUUGACAAUUGUAGUAUAAGUAUAAGUAGGGAUCGUUCUGGACCGGGGAUUAGGAGGGCUUGCUAAUAACCUCUAAACUAACUUAAAAAUAUAUAAAUAAAGUUAAAAACACUAAACUAGACUCAAAGAAUUCAAAACAAACUCAAAGAACUCAAAACAAGCUAAAAACACUCAAAUCUGCCUAAAAACACAAACUGGGCAGAUUUGGACUCUAAACACACUUUUGGACGAAUUUUGGUUUCAACUUGGUUCGAAAUACUUAAAAGUACAAACUAAAUCAGUUUCUAACUAAUAUGACUCAACAAGGUAAAGGGAGGGGGUUUUGGUUUUGAUGAAUUUGAAAACAAAACAAGUAAAUUAAAGAACUAAUGAAAUUUGCACGAAUUUGAGUAAAUUGAAUGGAUGGAAUGCUAGCUAGGAGGUUCUUCUCCACACAUGACACACUUUUGGACGAAUUUUGGUUUCAACUUGGUUCAAAAUACUUAAAAGUACAAACUAAAUCAGUUUCUAACUAAUAUGACUCAACAAGGUAAAGGGGGUUUUGGUUUUGAUGAAUUUGAAAACAAAACAAGUAAAUUAAAGAACUAAUGAAAUCUGCACGAAUUUGAGUAAAUUGAAUGGAUGGAAGGCUAGCUAGGAGGUUCUUCUCCACACAUAACACACUUUUGGACGAAUUUUGGUUUCAACUUGGUUCAAAAUACUUAAAAGUACAAACUAAAUCAGUUCUAACUAAUAUGACUCAACAAGGUAAAGGGGGUUUUGGUUUUGAUGAAUUUGAAAACAAAACAAGUAAAUUAAAGAACUAAUGAAAUCUGCACGAAUUUGAUUAAAUUGAAUGGAUAGAAGGCUAGCUAGGAGGUUCUUCUCCACACAUGACACACUUUUGGACGAAUUUUGGUUUCAACUUGGUUCGAAAUACUUAAAAGUACAAACUAAAUUAGUUUCUAACUAAUAUGACUCAACAAGGUAAAGGGGGUUUUGGUUUUGAUGAAUUUGAAAACAAAACAAGUAAAUUAAAGAACUAAUGAAAUCUGCACAAAUUUGAGUAAAUUGAAUGGAUGGAAGGCUAGCUAGGAGGUUCUUCUCCACACAUGACACACUUGCAAACAAAACGAUUUCCAGUUGCUUUUCAAAAAAACUACGAAUUCUCAACGCCCCAGAUUAACUGUGAAUUGCACUAAUUAACCCUUAGAUUUUCCUAAUUUCAUUGAAUUGGAUGAUUGCAUACAACAACCCAAAGCAUUCUCCACAAGUUCCCUACAUGAAUUGCAUACUAGAGAUACAAGCAAGAAUCAUUAAGUUCUAUGAAAAUCAUAAGCAUUGACGAAACACUUGUAACUAUGAAUUGCAUGAAACUUAUGCCAAGAAUUUACUUAACACAGUUGUGACGAGCAACCUUCACUACUUGUGAAUAUAAGUUCAUAACGAUUAGGUGAAACUCCCUUAUAUCCUAGCAUCAGAUUUAUGCAUGAAAAUAAAGCGUGCACUCUCAACCAAUAUACACAAAUCAGUUUUAAUUCAACUGGAUAAGUAAAUUGAAUUCACAACUUAUGAAUCACAACUGAAAGUAAUCAAAUCAUAUUGCAAGCAUGAACAUGGUUUCGAAUUCCCCCUUAGGUAAGGGGGGUUUAGUUCCUCAUACUCACAAAGCAAAGAUAAACAAAUUUAGACAUUGAAUAUAAAAGAAUGAAAACACCUAAAAACGCUCCAACAAUCCAACUUGAUUGGCAAGCACGUCCAAGGGUCCUCCUUCUUCUCUUUGUUGUGGCACAAGUGUCUAGGAUGUGUAUGGAUAUAUGGAAAGGUUAGGAAUGUAUUUAGGAUUGGUGAAUG
rnacentral:lncRNA from 1 species